UUCCGUAGGUGAACCUGCUGCUGGAUCAUUACA
rnacentral:rRNA from 1 species